CCUACGGGUGGCAGCAGUGAGGAAUAUUGGUCAAUGGACGCGAGUCUGAACCAGCCAAGUAGCGUGAAGGAUGACUGCCCUAUGGGUUGUAAACUUCUUUUAUAUGGGAGUAAAAUGUUCCACGUGUGGGAUUUUGUAUGUACCAUAUUACUAAGUAUCGGCUAACUCCGUGCCAGCAGCCGCGGUAAUACGGAGUGGCCGAGCGUGAUCCGGAUUUAUUGGGUUUAAAGGGAGCGUAGGUGGAUGGUUAAGUCAGUUGUGAACGUUUGCGGCUCAACCGUAAAAUUGCAGUUGAAACUGGCAGUCUUGAGUACAGUAGAGGUGGGCGGAAUUCGUGGUGUAGCGGUGAAAUGCUUAGAUAUCACGAAGAACUCCGAUUGCGAAGGCAGCUCACUGGACUGUAACUGACACUGAGGCUCGAAAGUGUGGGUAUCAAACAGGAUUAGAUACCCCUGUAGUC
rnacentral:rRNA from 1 species